GGCUGUCUGUGGCCUGCCUGCACACGGUCACCAUGUCAGCACCAAGAGAGACUCCAGGAAGCCUAGAGGACCAGUGAUAAAGACUCUGUGAGGCACAUGGGCCCCUCCUUCAGAAGGAAGCAGGCUUUCCUGAUGUUUGCCUUAACCUGACCUCACUGCACAUAACACAAAGAGGAGGAAGGGCCACCCUGCUCAUCUGUCCAGGGCCGUGGAAACCCAGAGAGCACUGUGGCCUGUGCCUCUUUGGGCUGGAUGUUCACACCACACCACUGAGCAGUGUAGACCAGAGCAGAGUGAGCAGAGUGGAGGGAGUGCACCUGGAGGUCACAUUCACUUGCUUCCUGGCAGCCACCCCAGCUCCAGCUGUGUUGCCUCCCUCCCUCCCUCCCCUUCCUGUCCCUCUCUUCCUUUCCUCCCCCUCAGCCUCCUUCCCACCCUUUUUUUCUUUUGCUGGCUUCUGUUCUUUCUUUCCAUGAGCAGAGAGUUUCCAGGCUUGGCCCACAGCCAGCACAUGUGGACAAAAGACUUAGAGGGAGCCGUCACCUUCCAUGCUGUCCGCAGGGCGGCACAGCUUAGUAAGGCUGCUCCCCUGGCUGCCCCCCUGGCUGCUCCCCUGAAGUUUCUGGGAAAGAGGGUCUGGAUGGUUCUGGAACUCAGGCUCUGAUUCCAAUGAACCUGAGAGCUGCAGGCCUUCUGGCAAGUUCUUCUCUAUGCCCCAGGCCUCUCGGUUUUACCAGAAAGUUUGCAAGACCUUGGAAAGGAUGACGUGAGGCUGUACCUGUGGGACACUCUGGCACAUUCUGGGAGAAGUGCUCAACAAAUGUCUGCUGAGAUUUUUUUAAAGUGAGCCUCACCCUGGCAAGUGAUACUAGCAUUGAUGAUGCUGGGUCCUGAAUUGAUAAGGACUGUGCACUCAACUCAUUUAGAGGGCUGAUUGUUCCCAAGUUCUAUGAAACCUAAAAUACUCUCUCAGACCAGGCUGGGGGUGUAGUUCAAUGAUAGAGGGAGGACUUACCUAACAUUAACAAUGCCCUGGGAUAAAUCCCCAGCACUGUAACACCCACCCUCCACCCUCACGCUCACACAUCCACCAGCAAACUCUUGAGCAAAUGACCGUAGCAGCAACAUGAUCUGAGAACAUUUUGGUUUUUCCAAGAGCUGAGCCCCUUUCUUCUGCAGUAGAAGCAAGACACCCAGGACACGAUGACCCUCAGCCUCUGUUCGCCAGGGGUCACCGAGCCUGCUGUCUGUCCUGACCUCCCCAGCCAGAGCUAUUUUUCAGUUUCUUGUGGGCUAAGGCCCGGGUCUGUCUGUUUACUAUCUUAGCCUGGUGUUUUUGUACUCAAAAGUUUCGUAACGCCUGCGAGUAUGUUCUUCUUCACUGGCUAAAUUCUGAGAUAUGAAAAAUGGUCUUUCAAUUACAAUUUAGUUAAUCUGAGGCAGCAUGAAUGGAUUUGAAAUUGACCAAUAAACUCAAUCACCAAGCA
rnacentral:lncRNA from 1 species